AAGUUACUCAAGGGCAUGCGGUGGAUGCCUUGGGAGAAGUGACCGAAGAAGGACGUAGCAGACCGCGUUAGGCCUCGGGUAGGUGUCAAGCAACCUGUGAUCCGGGGAUUUCCGAAUGGAGCAAUCCUCCCGCCAAUUUAGGGCUGGUAUAUCAAAUAUCCCAACCGAUAAAUAAUUCGUUAAUUAGUCGGGUGGGCAGUAGCGAUAUACGAGCUUUAAAUUGGCGGGAACCCAUUGCUGAAUACAUAGGCGAUGUGGAGGAAACCGUGCGAACUGAAACAUCUUAGUAGCACGAGGAAAAUAGAACAAAUGUUAUUCCCUAAGUAGUGGCGAGCGAAAAGGGAGAAGUCUAAACUCUCUUGCGUGUUAAAGCCUACUGGCGUUGCGCAGGAGGGGGUUACAAGGAUAAUGCAUUUUGGGCGGUAGACCAAAUGAGGAGUUACAAAUGAUUUUCUUAGCUAAAGGUCCCUGGAAAGGGCAACCAAAGAGGGUGAUAGUCCGAUAGUGAACAAGUACCGUGAGGGAAAGGUGAAAAGUCCCCCGGCGAGGGGAGUGAAAUAGUACCUGAAACCGAAUGCCCAUCUAAAAGUCGGAGCCCCGCCAUUUUAGCGCUGGUGUCGACGCUAUAUGAUGUAGACAUGCACUAUGUCUAUGUCUUACUCAAUCUAAAAACCCAUAAACCAUACAUUGGCCAGACCAAAAGCCUGCGCCAGAGGUUUUCAGCCCAUCAAGGGCAUGGCAGUUUUAACCUCGUAUAUUAUGAAGCCUAUCGUGACCCCCACGCGGCUUACAAACGAGAAAAACUGCUGAAAAAUUAUGGAACAACUUGGACUAGGUUGAAACAGCGUUUAGAUACGAGCUUUAAAAUGGCGGGGUGACGGCGUGCCUUUUGUAGAAUGAGCCAACGAGUUAAUUUCUGUUGCAAGGCUAAGAACUUAUCGUUCGCAGCCGAAGCGAAAGCAAGUGCGAAUAGCGCGAUUGAAGUAGCAGGGAUUAGACCCGAAACCGGGUGACCUAACCAUGGUCAGGCUGAAGCUGCCGUAAAAAGCAGUGGAGGGCCGCACCCACCUACGUUGAAAAGUGGGGGGAUGAACUGUGGUUAGCGGAGAAAUUCCAAUCGAACCCGGAGAUAGCUGGUUCUCCCCGAAAUAUAUUUAGGUAUAGCCUCAGAGCGUUCCCGGCAGUGGUAGAGCUACUGAAUGGAUUCGGGCGGUUUACCGUACCGCGUCCAAUUAAACUCCGAAUACUGUCCGGUUAAGCCCGGGAGUCAGAAAACGGCGGCUAAGCGUCGUAUGUCGAAAGGGAAACAGCCCAGACCGCCAUCUAAGGUCCCUAAAUUCAGCUAAGUGUGAAAGGAAGUGGAGACACAUGAACAACCAGGAGGUUGGCUUAGAAGCAGCCAUCCUUCAAAGAAAGCGUAACAGCUCACUGGUCGAUGAGCCGAGGCCGCAAGGCGUAGGCGAUGGACAACAGGUUAAUAUUCCUGUACUGCUUAAUGUUCGCCCAAGACAAGCAAACUGGUAGGCCAGAUGAUCGUCCCGCCAAUUUAGGGCUGGUAUCUUGGUAGUUUCUUAAUCGUUUUACGUUUAUAUGUAAUUGGUCGAGAGAUAACCAUAGGUACAAGCGUUAAAUUGGCGGGAUGGAUGCUGGUUCUGCUGGUCUGCACGUCUAGCAAUGGGGUGACGCAAGUUGGUAGGCCGAGCUGAGUUGUAAUGGAAAGUUGAGUCUUUCGGGACAAGGCGAUUUGGCUGAUCUAAGUUGACCAGAAAAACCUCUAGCGAGAACAUUGAGCAUCCGUACCUAAACCGACACAGGUGGAUAGGGCGAGUAGCCUAAGGCGCACGAGAGAACCCUCUUUAAGGAACUCGGCAAAAUAGCGUCCGUAACUUCGGAAUAAGGACUGCCCCCCACUUUCUGCGCAUAGCGCUCAUGCGCUAAGCAACGCAAGUUGGUGCGUAGAAAGUGGGGGGCCGCAGCUAAAGACAUCAGGCGACUGUUUAGCAAAAACACAGGUCUCUGCUAACUCGAAAGAGGAGGUAUAGGGGCUGACGCUUGCCCGGUGCCAGAAGGUCACGUAG
rnacentral:rRNA from 1 species